CAGUGCCGUAAGCCAAUGAAGCAGGAAACAGAGAGGAAGAAGCAGAACAAGAUGAAGACCAGGAUUUUCAAACAAGAAGAGACGAUCAGAAUGGUUGUUAAGGCUUCUCUCAUACUGGUUCUCCUUGUAAUCUUUUCCUGCACUCUAGUAGCGAUUGCUGGAAUUCACAACCACAACAAUCAAACUCCUAAUGGCUCCACUCUCGCUGGCAUGGAAGUGCCAGAGCAUAUGAGCUUCAAUGCUGUCUCCUCCUCAUCCCACACUGGAUGCAGCCUCAGCAGCUCAAAGAAAACCAAGCAAUCAGAUUCAACCAUGGAAAAAGCAGUGUCCGAUAAUGAAGAAUCUGACGAAGACGAGGAUGAAGUAGCUGAUGAUUCUGUGACAAAAAUGAGAACCCAUAAACAAUCUGUGAAGCUCCACCUGAGGCACAGGUCACAGAACAGAGAAUCCGAGCGUAAGAGUUCUGUGAUUGAGUCCACAGUCAGAGACUUGGUCAGAAUUCAGACCCUCCACACAAGGAUUGUUGAGAAAAAGAAUCAAAAUACCAUUUCAAGGCUACAGAAAGACAAGAAGGUCCACGAAUUCAAGCCAGUUGUUGCUCCGGCAGCCUCGCCGGAGUCUUAUACAAGCGAGCUUUCCGGUCAGCUUCAGGCGACUUUGAAGUCCGGGGUCAGUCUCGGUUCUGGAGAGUACUUCAUGGAUGUUUUUAUUGGUACACCUCCUAAACACUUCUCUUUGAUACUUGAUACUGGUAGUGAUCUUAAUUGGGUUCAAUGUGCACCUUGCUAUGCUUGUUUUGAGCAAGAUGGACCACAUUAUGAUCCUAAAGAUUCCACCUCUUUCCGAGACAUAAGCUGCCAGGAUCCGCGGUGUCGAUUGGUUUCGUCCCCGGAUCCUCCUCAGCCUUGCAAGGCUGAGAACCAAACAUGUCCCUAUUUCUACUGGUAUGGGGACAGUUCCAAUACAACUGGGGAUUUUUCCCUUGAAACCUUUACUGUUAAUCUCACAUCAGAUACUGGGAAGACAGACUUUAAAAGAGUGGAGAAUGUGAUGUUUGGAUGUGGCCAUUGGAAUAGAGGCCUGUUUCAUGGGGCUGCAGGAUUGUUAGGACUUGGGAGAGGGCCUCUCUCCUUUGCCUCUCAGCUUCAAUCACUUUAUGGCCAUUCAUUCUCAUACUGUCUGGUAGAUAGAAAUAGUGACACCAAUGUUAGCAGCAAGUUGAUUUUUGGGGAGGACAAGGGGCUCUUGAGCCACCCAAAGUUGAGCUACACCUCAUUGGUUGGAGGCAAAGAAAACCCUGCUGAUACAUUUUACUAUGUCCAGAUAAAAUCCAUCAUGGUUGGAGGGGAAGUGGUUGACAUACCAGAGGAGACUUGGAAUUUGACACCAGAAGGUGCUGGAGGCACAAUCAUUGAUUCUGGCACCACACUGAGUUAUUUUGCAGAUCCUGCAUACCAGAUUAUCAAGGAGGCAUUUUCGAAGAAGGUUAAAGGCUAUCCAGUUGUAAAAGACUUCCCAUUUUUAGAUCCUUGUUACAAUGUGUCUGGUGUUGAGAAGAUAGUGCUUCCAGAAUUUGCAAUUCUGUUUGCUGAUGGAGCAGUUUGGGAUUUCCCAGUUGAGAAUUACUUCAUCCAGAUCGAUCCGCAAGAGGUUGUUUGCUUGGCAGUGCUAGGAACUCCAAAAUCUGGUCUUUCAAUCAUUGGUAACUAUCAGCAGCAGAAUUUUCACAUCCUCUAUGACACAAAGAAGUCUAGGCUAGGAUAUGUACCAAUGAAAUGUGCUGAUGUUUAACAAUAUUUUGUUGGAAGAUCAGGAGGAGGUGAAAAACUGGAGCCUAGAAUGAUGGGUUUUGCUUUGUGUAAACAGUUUCAUCAGUACCAGGUGGUGGGAAGAGCCCUCCCAUCUGAAAAAGAUGAGCAUCCCAAGAUCUACCGUAUGAAGCUCUGGGCCACCAAUGAGGUCCGUGCCAAAUCCAAGUUCUGGUACUUUUUGAGGAAGUUGAAGAAAGUGAAGAAAAGCAAUGGACAAGUUUUGGCCAUUAAUGAGAUAUUUGAGAAAAGUCCAACAACGAUCAAGAACUACGGAAUUUGGCUGCGAUAUCAGAGCCGAACUGGUUAUCACAACAUGUACAAGGAAUACCGGGACACUACUCUCAAUGGUGCUGUUGAAGACAUGUACACUGAGAUGGCAUCUCGUCACAGGGUGAGGUCUCCAUGCAUCCAAAUCAUUAAGACAGCCACUAUCCCAGCAAAACUUUGCAAGAGGGAGAGUACCAAGCAGUUCCAUAACUCCAAGAUCAAAUUCCCAUUGGUGUUCAAGAAGGUUAGGCCCCCAACCAGGAAGCUCAAGACGACAUACAAGGCAACUAGGCCCAACAUCUUUGUGUAAUUUUGUCGCCUCGCGGUUUCCUUUCAUCUGAAAGCUUUGCACUUUAAUUAGCUAAAUUAGUUGAACCUAGGAAUGGUGAUGAAAGUUUUACUGAAUUUUGGUUUCUUUCGAGUAUGAACAUCCUUUUUCUGUUAUCCAGAGUGUUUCAGUUUUGAAGAUUGUGGCUUUACAAGUCUAUAAUGAGCUUGGUACUUUGUUUUAUGCUUUUCCUAAACCUUUUGAUUAUGAAGAUUGUGUCCUCCAUUCCA